rnacentral:rRNA from 1 species
UACGUAGGGUGCGAGCGUUAAUCGGAAUUACUGGGCGUAAAGCGUGCGCAGGCGGUUGUGCAAGACAGAUGUGAAAUCCCCGGGCUCAACCUGGGAACUGCAUUUGUGACUGCACGGCUGGAGUGCGGCAGAGGGGGAUGGAAUUCCGCGUGUAGCAGUGAAAUGCGUAGAUAUGCGGAGGAAUACCGAUGGCGAAGGCAAUCCCCUGGGCCUGCACCGACGCUCAUGCACGAAAGCGUGGGGAGCAAACAGG